CCUACGGGAGGCAGCAGUGAGGAAUAUUGGUCAAUGGGCGGGAGCCUGAACCAGCCAAGCCGCGUGAGGGAAGAAGGUACAGCGUAUCGUAAACCUCUUUUGUCAGGGAACAAAGGCGGGGACUAGUCCCCGGAUGAGGGUACCUGAAGAAAAAGCAUCGGCUAACUCCGUGCCAGCAGCCGCGGUAAUACGGAGGUGGCAAGGGUUGUCCGGAAUUACUGGGUGUAAAGGGAGCGUAGGCGGGAAAGCAAGUUGAAUGUUUAAGGUACGGGCUCAACCUGUACAAGCGUUCAAAACUGUUUGUCUUGAGUGGAGUAGAGGUGAGCGGAAUUCCUAGUGUAGCGGUGAAAUGCGUAAAUAUUAGGAGGAACACCAGUGGCGAAGGCGGCUUACUGGGCUUUAACUGACGCUGAGGCUCGAAAGCGUGGGUAGCAAACAGGAUUAGAUACCCGGGUAGUC
rnacentral:rRNA from 1 species